rnacentral:rRNA from 1 species
GCUACCCCAAGUCAGGUGGGAUCACCCGCUGAGUUUAAGCAUAUCAAUAAGCAGAGGAAAAGAAACUUACUAGGAUUCCCCUAGUAACGAUAAGGAAACCAAGAAGAGCCCAGCUUGAGAAUCGGGUGCCCCCAACAUCCGAAUUGUAGUAUGGAGAAGCGUCCUCAGCGACGGACCAGGCCCAAGUCCCCUAAAAAGGGGAGCAGAAGAGGGUGAGAGCCCCAUUGUGUCAGGAUCUUGUUGCACCAUGAGGCGCUGUCAGCGAGUCAGGUUGUUUGGGAAUGCAGCCCUAAUCAAACGGUAAAUUCCAUCCAAGGCUGAAUAUGGGCAAGAGACUGAUAGCAAACAAGUACCGUGAGGGAAAGAUGUAAAAGACUUUGAAAGAGAGUCAAAGAGUGCUUGAAAUUACCAGGAGGGAAGCAGAUAGGGGCCCAAGAUGCAUCCCGAUCGUAUGUGGAAUGCCGAGAGUUGGUCCGUCGAUCCGUUCGGGCCGUGGACCGACACGGGUCACGACGGUAGCCCAAGCACAAGCUUUUGAUGUGCCCUUGGAGACGUUGUCUCCGCGAUCUUGAAAUGCAGCAUGGGUCAUCUUGACGUGCCUCGACAUCUCCGUGCUUUCGACGGUAGCCUGCAGGCUCCCCAUCCAGUCCGUCUUGAAACACGGACCAAAGAGUCUAACAUGCGUGUGAGUCAAUGGGCCAGGAAACCCGUAAGGCGUAAGGAAGUUGAUUGGCGGGAUCCCUCACGGGUGCACCGUUAAUCGACCUUAAUCUUCUGAGAAGGGUUUGAGUGUGAGCAUGCUUAUCGGGACCCAAAAGAUGGUGAACUAUGCCUGAGCGGGGCGAAGCCAGAGAAAACUCUGGUGAAGGCCCGCAGCGAUACUGAUGUGCAAAUCUUUUGUCUGACUUGGGUAUAAGGGUGAAAGACUAAUCGAAUCGUCUAGCAUUUGGUUCCUUCUGAAGUUUCCCUUAGGAUAGCUAGAGCCCCUAGCUAGUUCUAUCAGGUAAAGCCAAUGAUUAAAGGUAUUGGGGACGCAACGCCCUUGAUCUAUUCUCAAACUUUAAAUAGGUUGGACGAUGCGGUUGCUUCGUUGAGCCAUGCCACAAAAUUGAGAGCUCCAAGUGGGCCAUUUUUGGUAAGCAAAACUGGCGAUGCAAGAUGAACCGGAAGCCGGGUUACAAUGCCCAACUGUGCUCUAACCCAAAACCCAUAAAGGGUGUUGGUCGAUUAAGACAGUAGGACGAUGGUCAUGGAAGUCAAAAUACGCUAAGGAGCAUGUAACAACUCACUUGUCCAAUCAACUAGCCUAAAAAAUGGAUGGUACUUAAGUGCAUGACCUAUACCCGACCGUUGGGGCAAGGGUCAUGCCCCAAUGAGUAGAAAGGCAUGACAGUCUCAACAAAAGCUAGGGCACAAGCCUGGGCAGAGCGGCCGUCGAUGUAGAUCUUGGUGGUAGUAGCUAAUAUUCAAAUGAAAACUUUAAAGGCCGAAGAGGAGAAAGGUUCCAUGUGAAUGGCACUUGCACAUGGGUUAGUCGAUCCUAAGAGACGGGGGAAGCCUGUCCAACAGCGCAUCCCGCGUGAGUGUUGAAAGGGAAUCGGGUUAAAAUUCCUGAAUCGAGAUGCGAUGGCUAACGGCAAUGUUAGGGAGUCCAAAGACGUCGAUGGGGGCUUCAAAAAAAGUUAUCUUUUUUAUUUAAUGGCUCGCCCACCUUGGAAACAGCUCAGUCAGAGGUAGGGUCCAGCAGCAAGAAGAGCACCAUACGUCGCAUGGUGUCCGAUGCACCCCUGGUGACCCUUAAAAAUAUGGAGGAUCGAGUGCUGUUCACGUCUGGUCAUACUCAUAACUACAUCAGGUCUCCAAGGUGAACAGCAUUUGGUCGAUGGAACAAUGUAGGCAAGGAAAGUCGACAAAAUGGAUCUGUAACCUUGGGAAAAAGAUUGGCUCUGAGGUUGGGCAUGGGGGUCCUAGUCAUGAACCCAUCGGCUGUCGGUGCACUACUCGAGCUGUUCUCAUGAUGAGAAUGGGUCACCGAGUGCCGAUCGAGGGACGAACUGGGAACGGCUCCCUUAGGGGCCUUUCUCGGGCAACAAACAAUCGACUCAAAACUGGUACGAACAAGGGGAAUCCGACUGUUUAAUUAAAACAAAGCAUUGUGAUGGUCCCUACAGAUGCUCAUGCAAUGUGAUUUCUACCCAAUGCUCUGAAUGUCAAAGUGAAAAAAUUCAACCAAGUGUGGGUAAAUGAUAGAAGUAACUAUGACUCUCUUAAGGUAGCCAAAUGACUCGUCAUCUAAUUAAUGACUCAUCAUCUAAUUAGUGACGCGCAUGAAUGGAUUAAUGAGAUUUCCACUGUCCCUAUCUACUAUCCAGUGAAACCAUAGCUAAGGGAAUGGGCUUGGUGGAAUCAGCGGGGAAAGAAGACCCUGUUAAGCUUGACUCUAGUCUGACUUUGUGAAAUGACUUGAGAGGUGUAGGAUAAGUGGGAGCCCUCAGGGUGAAAUUGAAAUACCACUACUUUUAACAUUAUUUUACUUAUUCCGUGAAUCAGAGGUAGAGCACGACCCCUUCUUUUGGACCCAAAGUCAGCUUCAGCCGAUCAAUUUAAGCGGAAGACAUUGUCAGGUGAGGAGUUUGGCUGGGGCGGCACAUCUGUUAAAAGAUAACGAAGGUGUCUUAAGAUGAGCUCAACGAGAACAGAAAUCUCAUGUGAAAUAAAAGGGUAAAAGCUUGUUUGAUUAUGAUUUCCAAUACGAAUACAAACCAUGAAAGCAUGGCCUAUCAAUCCUUUAGACCUUCGAGAUUUGAAGCUAGAGGUGUCAAAAAAGUUACCACAGGGAUAACUGGCUUGUGGCAGCCAAGUGUUCAUAGCAACGUUGCUUUUUGAUCCUUUGAUGUCGGCUCUUCCUAUCAUUGUGAAGUAGAAUUCACCAAGUGUUGGAUUGUUCACCCACCAAUAGGGAACGUGAGCUGGGUUUAGACCAUCGUGAGACAAGUUAGUUUUACCCUACUGAUGGUGGCAUCAUGAUAGUAAUUCAACCUAGUACGAGAGGAACCAUUGAUUUGCAUAAUUGGUCAUUGUGCUUGGUUGAAAAGCCAGUGGUGCAAAGCUACCAUGCGCUGGAUUAUGACUAAAUGCCUCUAAGUUAGAAUCUGGGCUAGAAGUGAUGCGCAUGCCCGUCGCUCGAUUGCCAACCCGUAGUAGAGGCCCGUGGCCCCCAAGGGCACGUGUCAUAGGUGCAGCCCCCACGAUGGUAGAGCCGCACGAGCCUCCUUAGAGCUCAAUUCCCACCGAG